UACGUAGGGCGCAAGCGUUGUCCGGAAUUAUUGGGCGUAAAGAGCGUGUAGGCGGUCCGGUAAGUCAGCUGUGAAAGUCAAGGGCUCAACCCUUGAAUGCCGGUUGAUACUGUCGGGCUAGAGUCCGGAAGAGGCGAGUGGAAUUCCCGGUGUAGCGGUGAAGUGCGCAGAUAUCAGGGGGAACACCGGUGGCGAAGGCGGGUCUCUGGGCCGAUACUGACGCUGAGGAGCGAAAGCGUGGGGAGCGAACAGG
rnacentral:rRNA from 1 species